UGCAAUGAUGGUGUAAUUUGCGUCUGAGGCUGUGAACAGUGACAGUUGCCUGCUGUCGUUUUGCUGUCGCACGUUUUUGAUGAACAGUAGAUCUGAGCA
ensembl:snoRNA SNORD16 Small nucleolar RNA SNORD16